UGGCGGACGGGUGAGUAACGCGUAAGAACUUGCCCUUUAGACUGGGAUAACAGAGGGAAACUUCUGAUAAUACUGGAUAAGUUAGUAUAUCGCAUGAUAUGCAAAUGAAAGCUACGGCACUAAAGGAGAGCUUUGCGUCCUAUUAGCUAGUUGGUAAGGUAAGAGCUUACCAAGGCGAUGAUAGGUAGCCGGCCUGAGAGGGUGGACGGCCACAAGGGGACUGAGAUACGGCCCUUACUCCUACGGGAGGCAGCAGCC
rnacentral:rRNA from 1 species